AGAGCGAACGCUGGCGGCAGGCCUAACACAUGCAAGUCGAGCGCCCCGCAAGGGGAGCGGCAGACGGGAGAGUAACACGUGGGAACGUACCCUUCAGUUCGGAACAACCCAGGGAAACUUGGGCUAAUACCGGAUACGUCCGUAAGGAGAAAGAUUUAUCGCUGAAGGAUCGGCCCGCGUCUGAUUAGCUAGUUGGUGGGGUAAUGGCCCACCAAGGCGACGAUCAGUAGCUGGUCUGAGAGGAUGAUCAGCCUCAUUGGGACUGAGACACGGCCCAAACUCCUACGGGAGGCAGCAGUGGGGAAUAUUGGACAAUGGGCGCAAGCCUGAUCCAGCCAUGCCGCGUGAGUGAUGAAGGCCCUAGGGUUGUAAAGCUCUUUCAGCGGGAAGAUAAUGACGGUACCCGCAGAAGAAGCCCGGCUAACUUCGUGCCAGCAGCCGC
rnacentral:rRNA from 1 species